AUCUCCUCUGACGGUCACCUUAGGGCGACUGGCGUCCGCGUGCAGCCUCAGCAUCCUGCGACCUUCGCGGCCCGGAGCAGCCUCCCUUUGGUCUGCUUCUCGAAGGUUCAAUUCACAGAGCACUUCAUAUCUACCAGGAUAUGUUCCUAAAACAUCCCUGAGUUCACCACCUUGGCCAGAAGUUGUUCUGCCAGACCCAGUUGAGGAGACCAGACACCAUGCAGGUAAGACCUCCCUGGGAGACAGAAGCUAGAGGGCACCACUCAGACCCGCUCCAGUCACCCACAGAGGUUGUCACCAGGCCACAGAACGAGGCUUCAUGUUUGCAGAUGCUCCCAGACACAGCACAGUGCCAGCACUCAUGUCCAUUUUCACCAGUUAACACCAGAAUUUCAGAUGUUUUUCAUUAACUACUCCUUGAACACCUGCCACACUGCAGGCAGGUGGCAUAAGUGAGGGCAGGGGGCCCCUGCUCCAUCUCGUUUUCCGCUGUUGGUGGGUGCAGCGACAGCUCUCCCCAGUUAGCACAGUUAAGCACAAUUACUGGAAGCCGGUG
rnacentral:sRNA from 1 species